CCCUAUGGGGUGCAGCAGGCGCGAAACCUUUACAAUGCACGAAAGUGUGAUAGGGGAACUCAAAGUGCUUUGCUUAGGCAAGGCUUUUGCUAAGUCAAAACAGCUUGGCGAAUAAGUGGUGGGUAAGACGGGUGCCAGCCGCCGCGGUAACACCUGCGCCACAAGUGGCAACCAUGAUUAUUGGGCCUAAAGCGUCCGUAGCCGGUCUUAAUAGUCUUCUGUGAAAUUGUUAAGCUUAACUUAACAGCGUGCAGGAGAUACUGUAAGACUUGGAACUGGGGGGAGUCAGAAGAAUUUUUGGGGGAACGGUAAAAUGUUAUAAUCCCAAAAAGACUACCAGUGGCGAAAGCGUCUGACUAAUACAUGUUCGACGGUGAGGGACGAAAGCCAGGGGAGCAAUCCGGAUUAGAUAUCAAAAAUUUUGCGAAGCAAAAUUCUUUGAGUUUAGUCAAAUAUUUCUACGAUUGCAACAAUAUACUGUAGAGAUUUUUGAUUCUAAGACUAUAUCAAAAUUUUUGACUAAUUACCCGAGUAGUCCUGGCUGUAAACUCUGCGAGCUAGGUGUUGCAUAUUCUUCGUGAAUAUGCAGUGUCGAAGCGAAAGUGUUAAGCUCGCCGCCUGGGAAGUAUGGUCGCAAGACUGAAACUUAAAGAAUAGGCGGGGGGAGCACUACAAAGGGUGCGGCCGUGCGGGUUUAUCCUAUUUCCCCACAGAGAA
rnacentral:rRNA from 1 species